AGUCACGACAAUUCAAAAGAGCUUAUUUGGCUGUAAAGUGCUUCAAGAUGUCUACUGGACCUCAGAAUUUCUAAAUAACAAUUGACAGCAAGACUGACAAAGAGGGACAACUACUGAUGGUUUCCAAUUUUCACACAAGUCAAGAUGUUGGAUUCUGUCAUUCUAUACUGACACCUUCAAUGAAUAUGAAUACUCCAAAAGAAAAUAUCAACAAGUAGCUACUAUGGUUGUAGAAGAUGGGGUGUCAUAAACUCUUUGGAAAAUGGGCCUUUGUUCAAUCAAGCAAAUUAUUUUUAUUCAUUUAACUAUAAUCAAAGAUUUUAGAACACUUACUACCAAAAGAAUUUAAUUCAAGUGUAACAUGAAACAAGAACCACACAUUAUUAUUUAGCAUUUUUAUUAAAGCAAGCAUUCUAUAAUCCAAACGUUCCGUUUCAGUUUCUAAUGCUCAACCAUCAAACACACUGCUAACUAAAAACA